UUUUUUUUUUUUUUUUUUGUAUGUUGAGGCAGAGAGAGGCUCAUCCAGAAUUGAGAUCAGGGAGGAGGGCUCUACCUCUCCAUGCAAGGGGUCUUGGCACUCACUCACAUGUGAGACUUCUGCACAAUCUGAACUUAACGAUUUCUAGGAUUCUCAGCAAAUGUUCUUGCCCAAUGUUUCAUAGCUAAAAGCCCCAAGUUCCACCAUUAGGCUCAUGAGCCACGGACAGUGGUGGCCGAGGAAAAAUGUCUGGUGAGUGACAUUUGAGCAAAACUCUGCACAGAGCAUCGGGGACCGAGUUCCUGGCCAUGGCAUAAAGACCCUGAGGCCACACCAUACAUUGAAUGAGCUGACUGGACAUCUGUGUCUGAAGGCUACUUUUCUCAGAACUAAAUGGAGACUCAAGCCUUAUAGCUUCUGAGGCUGGCUUCCAGGGCCAUGCUUUUGUAGUAACAAGGUCAGGGCCCGGGCCAGCAGUUAAUUAAGUCACAAUGGGCCUGCUCCCUCCAGCUAGGGAGCAGAGCCAGAGCGGAGGUUGUGGAAGUCAUCUGGAAUCAGGAGAUGAGAGGCCCCAUACCACCUGCCUCCCUGCCUGUCCAGGGAUGUGGCCAAGGAACUCGGGUCCCUUAACCUCACCAGCAUGUGUGCCCCAGCCCUGCCCACCCUCCUCUGGAAUGAUCACCUCCUCAACCAAGGCCACCAAGGCUGAAGGCCAGGUGAGCCCUUGCUGGACUCUAGCUCUGGGUGGAGCGGAGAUUCUGAAGGCUGAAAGAAGUCUGACCUUCCUUCCAUCCUUGCAAAAUGGCCAAGCCGUUUAGCUGAACCCAGGUCUUCGGCUGUCCCUGGGCCUGAGACAUCAGUGGAUGCCAGCACUGCCUCCUCCUGGUCCUUCUGCCCCGGCCCAGUUCUAUGGCAGAGAGGCUACCUUUUGGCCUCCGAUCUGCAGCUCUGUCCUGGCUUUAGAGAAUUGGGAAGGGCCAAGAGAGGAAGGUGGAAUUGCAGCCUGGCCUAAAGCCACACUGACCCCUCCCUGGCCACACCCUGGAUCCCGGCAUGCUUUAAUUAAAGAUAGAUACUCAGAGGCUCAGCUGUCUGCCUCCUAACCCGAUGACUGAGCACUGGCCACACUCGUGCCCAGCCCCCUCUCUCCCCCUUCGUGUGUGGCUCCUGCUGCAGAGCACUGCUGGGCCAUUCUCUUAUCUAUCACGAGCAAGAGCAGAGCAAACCACUCUUUCCAGAUUUCUCCCAUGGUACCCACUUGCUAUUCUAUCUAGUGUAGCUGGAUAGCCCACUAUGGACUCGGGACCCUCUGCAGCUCUGACAUCCGCCUAGGACCUGAUAAUACAGAAGCCAGUGCAGGAGGGACUCCCUUAAGUCCUUUGUCGGGAAGCUGCAGUCUCCAUCUCUGGGUUGCCCUAAAUGACAGCGGCGAACAAUGCACCUUUUCUGUAACUAUCCACCUGGAUGGCAGGGACGAGCUCACUGAACUUCCUGCUCUAGCUUCCUGGCUGUAUACUGUGAGAGCCAGUGCAGUUUCCCAUGAGGACAGAGCAGGCACAGCACUGAGUGUAGCAGAUGACCCUCCAGGUGUUCAGCCACCGUGUGGGCCCUCUGGAACCUCCAACUGUUCAUCCCGGAAAGCCUGUGUCAACACUGUUUAGCUGGUGCCUCUCUGUGCCAGCUCAGGGGCAGCAUAACCUGGAAGGUCACGGUCGGCACAGAACAGCUUGCUUUCCCUGCCUGGCAGCCUGCAGGGCAGGAGGAACAUUUUUUUCUACUUGAUAUUGUUUUGACUUUGUUGUAUACAUUUUAUUUUUUAUAAAGAGGUCAUAUCUUAACUGUGGAUAUUCUAAUUAUUAUUUCUAAAUUUUUUAGCCAUGGUUAAAUGCGCAGAGCCCAGUACCAUCUUUGCCAUUGUUGACAACAGCAGUGUUAUCUGGGCAGCAUGCUCUGGAACUCUCCUCACCGGUCCAUGAAAUGCCCUGUUCUCUCCUCCUUGGCCCCUGGCAGUCACAAUCCAUCAAGAGUCUGACUUCUCCUGAAGUCUGCCUCUGCUCACACGUGGCAGGGCUGGGAUCUCAGUGAAACCAGCACUUCUCAGACAUCGGGAACAGCAGGGGCCCAACUCAAAGGAAGCAAUCUGUGGAUAAUGCCACCCAGAAAGGAACUGCUGAACAAAGGGACCGAACCUCAGAAGAACUAGACAUUCUACUAGCAAACAAGUCCCAUCUGACAGGCCGGAGGAUGGGGUGACAUGAAGACACCAAAGACAGUGGAGACACCACAGCAUACGAGCCGAGUGGCCUGCAUGUGGUACUGAAUUCUUUCUUUCUUUGCAUAGGAAAAUUUUCCUUCCUGCGUUGGCACAGCAGUUGACUUUCUUACAGAGAAUGAUCUGCUCCUUUUUUUUUUUAAAGAUUAAUUUAUUUAUUAUAUAUAAGUAACUGUAGCUGUCUUCAGACACACCAGAAGAGGGCAUCAGAUCUCAUUACAGAUAAAUGGUUGUGAGCUACCAUGCUAGGAUUUGAACUCAGGACCUCUGGAAGAGCAGUCAGUGCUCUCAGCCGCUGAGCUAUCUCUCCAGCCAGAGAAUCAUCUGCUCUUAUCCUGUGGCACAGGUGGCCUUCUCCUGCCACCAGGAGAAGGAAUGCAAGUUCAGAGGAAUGCACGUUACCUGGGCUUAGCAGAAUGUUCUUGUCCCUUCCAUUCCUGUGGCAGUGGGCUCAGAGGACUUAGGCUAGGUAGUGAGAAACUCCCAGAGUGAAGUUUCCUCACAGGUAAGAGGGCUAGAGAGUCCACAUCAGCUACUACUUGGGAAGGUUGUUUCUGAGAAUACUCAGGACUCUCAGGAAAAAUUCAGCGAUAUUCCUAGUAUUUUAAUAUCCGACCAAGCUAGGUCUGGAAGUACCCCCCUUCCCAAAUACAUAUUACAACUUUAUUAUAGGUUGAUUUUUAUGUAGUUAACUUAAUAAAAUACCAUGCUUCCAGUAGUCAUUCAAUUAAUUCUGCCAAAUAUAAUUUAAUCAUUUUCUGUUCUAAUUGUUACAUUUUAUUUACUUUUCUUGUCUUAUGGCACUGGCUUGAACUUCCAAGGCAAUUUGAAACAAUGGUAUCACUAAUAUCUAACAUCCUUGACUCAUCUCUGAGUACAGUCCAUGGCAACUCUUCCAGUGUGCUACUUUAAGAGUGAUUUUUGCUUCUAAUUUAAACUAAGUAACUCUUCUCACAUUCUGGAAACUUCUUAUUUCAUUUUUAGCUUGUCAACAGUUAUAUUAGGAAAAAUAUAUGUUUGUUCAUAAAUACUUUCCACAUAUCUGUCAAGAUCAGGGGCUGGCAGAUC